rnacentral:rRNA from 1 species
GACAGCAGCCGCCGCGGUAAUACAAAGGGGGCUAGCGUUGUUCGGAAUUAUUGGGCGUAAAGGGUGCGUAGGCGGUUUGAUAAGUCAUCUGUGAAAUCUCUGGGCUCAACCCAGAGUCUGCAGGCGAAACUGUCGGGCUUGAGUAUGGGAGAGGUGAGUGGAAUUUCCGGUGUAGCGGUGAAAUGCGUAGAUAUCGGAAGGAACACCUGUGGCGAAAGCGGCUCACUGGACCAUAACUGACGCUGAUGCACGAAAGCUAGGGGAGCAAACAGGAUUAGAUACCCCCGUAGUCCCUGUCUCUUAUAC